ACGAACGCUGGCGGCGUGCCUAAUACAUGCAAGUAGAACGCACAGUUUAUACCGUAGCUUGCUACACCAUAAACUGUGAGUUGCGAACGGGUGAGUAACGCGUAGGUAACCUGCCUGGUAGCGGGGGAUAACUAUUGGAAACGAUAGCUAAUACCGCAUAAUAUUGAUUAUUGCAUGAUAAUUGAUUGAAAGAUGCUAUUGCAUCACUACCAGAUGGACCUGCGUUGUAUUAGCUAGUAGGUGAGGUAACGGCUCACCUAGGCGACGAUACAUAGCCGACCUGAGAGGGUGAUCGGCCACACUGGGACUGAGACACGGCCCAGACUCCUACGGGAGGCAGCAGUAGGGAAUCUUCGGCAAUGGACGAAAGUCUGACCGAGCAACGCCGCGUGAGUGAAGAAGGGUUUCGGAUCGUAAAGCUCUGUUGUAAGAGAAGAACGGGUGUGAGAGUGGAAAGUUCACACUGUGACGGUAUCUUACCAGAAAGGGACGGCUAACUACGUG
rnacentral:rRNA from 1 species